CAAAAACGGAUCUGAAAUUUCGGCACAAGAAAGAUGUGUACCUGAGAUGCCCAAUUUAAGUAACUACAUUUUCAAUAUUGAUCUGCAACUACAAGAUGUACAUCAUGGGCCAUAUUGAGUUGGAGUUGUGCCAUGAUUGUGCAGCUUCCCAAACCAGACAAAGAUCCAUCUGGUUUAGUGAAUCAGCUGACAUGUGCAAAUUUAGCAAGACCCACUCUCUAGACACCGGCACUGAAGUACGAACCGGACACAUUCAACUGUACUUAACAUGGUGAGAGCAAUUCAGGCCUUUCUGCUCCACAGACAGACUCUAACCCCUUUUCCUAAAUGGGAUGCCCCGAUCUGCAGAGCCAGGUUUGUAUGGGCAUUUACACCUGAGGAGGGGGAAUAAAAAGGUUAAAAAAUAAAUGCUGUUAGCAUUUUGAUUAUUUGUUCCUUUCGCUUACUGAUUGUUAACAUGGAUAUAUACACCAAGUCAGUUUCAACCCUCAGCCUGUAGAAACUCAUCUUUUCACAUCAGCAUUCAAGGCAAGGUUUACAAUUUGUGGUGCAUUUUGUAAAGUGUCUAGUUUGCUGUGAAAUAUGUUUGGUUCUUCUUCAGAAUUUGACAUAAACCAAUUUGUGUUGUGUGAGCUGCCAAAGAAGUGGACUUCUCCUUCACUCCCGUUUGGUUACUCUCCACCUGCUGUCUCUGUUUGCUGCCAUUACUCUUAACAUUCAAAGAUGAGGUUAAUUAUCCACCAGCCUGUCUUCUAAACUGUGACCAACCUUGAAAAAGAAAAUUUCAUACCCUUCCUAUGACACACACGAGUUGACCUGAAGACCAGAAAUGACUGUUAAUUUUACUUCUUGUUUUGCUUCAAGUGGAAGCUUGGACCAAAAAGCAUCUAGGCCCAACUUGAAUCUCCUCUGGACUUGUUUGGGAAAAAAAGUUGAGCUGAGCUGAGAGGUUCUUAAAAGCUUUACAUUUACAUAAACACACACUCCAGUAUUUCCCUCUCACUCAUCUACCCACAAAGCCUCUGAGGAGUUUCAUCCCAUCUAUGGUGGGCUGUCCCUCGCUGGCUUUCAGAGGUCAGGGGCGUGAUGUCCAUCCACAACUCCUGGUUUCAC